UGGGGAAUUUUGGACAAUGGGCGAAAGCCUGAUCCAGCAAUGCCGCGUGUGUGAAGAAGGCCUUCGGGUUGUAAAGCACUUUCAGCGAGGAGGAAGGUGGUGAGCUUAAUACGCUCAUCAAUUGACGUUACUCGCAGAAGAAGCACCGGCUAACUCCGUGCCAGCAGCCGCGGUAAUACGGAGGGUGCAAGCGUUAAUCGGAAUUACUGGGCGUAAAGCGCACGCAGGCGGUUUGUUAAGUCAGAUGUGAAAUCCCCGGGCUCAACCUGGGAACUGCAUUUGAAACUGGCAAGCUAGAGUCUCGUAGAGGGGGGUAGAAUUCCAGGUGUAGCGGUGAAAUGCGUAGAGAUCUGGAGGAAUACCGGUGGCGAAGGCGGCCCCCUGGACGAAGACUGACGCUCAGGUGCGAAAAGCUGGGGAGCAAACAGGAUUAGAUACCCUGGUAGUCCAGCGCUGUAAAACGAUGUCGAUUUUGGAGGUUGUGCCCCUUGAGGCGUGGCUUCCGGAGCUAACGCGUUAAAUCGACCGCCUGGGGAGUACGGCCGCAAGGUUAAAACUC
rnacentral:rRNA from 1 species